rnacentral:lncRNA from 1 species
UUUUAUUCACAUUGUUUGUUUGAUCUUUCCUUAAGGAGACUAGGGUAUAAUCGGAUCGUUGAGAAGACAAAGAAGGGUAUUCUUUGUGAUUAUUGUAAUCAGUUUAUUAUACUGCAUUAUGUCCUUUUGUAUAAGGUAAAAUCAAUUUGGCGUGUAGACUGAAGUAGCUUUAAGUUUCAAGCGAACCAGGAUAAAGAUACUUGUGUUUUUAUCUCUUUGUUGAUUAGCAUUUGAGUGGUGUUCUUGAGUUGAGUAAAAGAUUUUUGUUUUAAA